UCUCUCUGGGACUUGCAGGACUUGCUGAAGAAGUAUUACUUGGGCACCCCAGUCUCCCCAGUGCCCCUCAAGGUGGUUCUGGCCCUGGAGCAGUUGAGCAAGCUGAAGCCUUCUUUAGGAGGCAAAGACAUGUGUGACCUGCUGAUUCUGUGCUGCAAGAUUAUUGUGACACACCCUUCAGCGGAGAUGAUGCUGAAGAUCAGGAAGUCACAGCAAGCAGCUCGGUACCUGCAGCUUCUGCAAACGUCACUGAAAGCUCUGGGCCGGCUCAUGGUGGUCCUGCUCGAGACAGAGACCACCAGUGGCUUCUUCCAGAACACAGUCCAUAGAUCAAUGACGUCAGGCAACAUGUGGGAGCGCAAGAGGGCCCUGCAGACGUGCUCCCAGCUGCUGGCUGCUUGUGAAGAGCGUGGAAGAGGAGACGCCUGCAAGCACUUUGGCUCCUUGGUGGGAUUGCUGGCGCCUCUGACGUGUGACCCCAUGCCCACCUCCCGCCAGUUGGCUGUCACCUGUCUGAGCUCCCUUCUCCGAAUCCAAGCCAAGGCGACCAACAGAGUCAUCCAGACAGGAGACAUCGGGAGCCUGUGUGAGGGGCUGAAUGACCGCAGCACCGUCUGUCAGCUCCAGACCUCGUCCAAAAUCGCGCGGGUAAGUGGACCCAAAAAGGGGUGGUGCGAUCUCAGUGCGUAGGCUUUUGCACGUCCCUCUGCUGCCCCCAGCCUCUCACACCGUUUCUAGAAUGAGCUGUCACCCUGAGAUCACUUUCUCAGCAAGUAGCAGGAGGCACUGAGCUAUGUCUGGCCUUAAGGCACCCCACGCAAGGUGCUGAUUCUAUGUCGUGUGUGUGUGUGUGUGCGUGUGACUGUGGCUGCUGGGAG
ensembl:lncRNA